UAGCUCAGCUGGGAGAGCACUUGCCUUACAAGCAAGGGGUCGGCGGUUCGAUCCCGUCAUCCUCCACCAUCUUAAU
rnacentral:tRNA from 1 species